CCAGCCACCGCGGUUACACGAUUAACCCUAGCUAAUAGAGAUCGGCGUAAAGGGUGUUUAAGAUCUAACAUAAUAAAGCUAAACCCCAUCUAAACUGUAAAACUCUAGCCAACGUAAAAUAAACUACGAAAGUGGCUUUAAAGCUUCUGAACACACAAUAGCCAAGACCCAAACUGGGAUUAGACACCCUACUAUGCUUGGCCCUAAACCUCAGUAGUUAGAUAACAAAACUACUCGCCAGAAUACUACAAGCAACAGCUUGAAACUCAAAGGACUUGACGGUGCUUUACAUCCCCCUAGAGGAGCCUGUUCUAUAAUCGAUAAACCCCGAUCCACCCCACCCUCUCUUGCUCAGCCUAUAUACCGCCAUCUUCAGCAAACCCUAAUGAAGGUCACAAAGUGAGCGCAAACGCCGCCGCCGCCGCGAAUACGUUAGGUC
rnacentral:rRNA from 1 species